rnacentral:rRNA from 1 species
CCUACGGGUGGCAGCAGUGAGGAAUAUUGGUCAAUGGCCGUAAGGCUGAACCAGCCAAGUAGCGUGAGGGAAGACUGCCCUAUGGGUUGUAAACCUCUUUUAUGCGGGGAUAAAGGUGUCCACGUGUGGCUGUUUGCAGGUACCGCAUGAAUAAGGACCGGCUAAUUCCGUGCCAGCCGCCGCGGUAAUACGGAAGGUCCGGGCGUUAGCCGGAUUUAUUGGGGUUAAAGGGAGCGCAGGCCGGUCUUUAAGCGUGCCGUGAAAUUUUGUGGCUCAACCAUGAGAGUGCGGCGCGAACUGGAGACCUUGAGUGAGCGGAAGGCAGGCGGAAUUCGUGGUGUAGCGGUGAAAUGCUUAGAUAUCACGAAGAACCCCGAUUGCGAAGGCAGCCUGCCGCAGCGUUACUGACGCUGAAGCUCGAAAGCGCGGGUAUCGAACAGGAUUAGAUACCCUUGUAGUC